AAUAGUAAAAAUUAUAUAAAUGCAACUUUGAAAAUGCAAUAAACUUUAGCGAGGAUUGAUGUUGGACAUUAGCCUUGGAGAAUAAAACUGAUAUAGAAAAUUUAUAUCAGAUAUAUUAAAAUCUUUCAACACAUUUCACAACUCCUACUUCUAAAAUUAAAAGCUGAUAGAAUAAAUGACUUAAUCUACAAUUGUAUUUUGAUGUUACCUAAGAGAUCGGCAUUAGAGUAUCAUUGUUGGUGGUGCAUACUCAGAAUGGAUAAUACUGAUGCACCGUUAAACUGAAGGUGGUAAUAAAGUUUACAAAAUUUGGUCUGGCUGAAUUUUUCAAUGAAAAAACAAUAUGUGUGCUUUGAAUGUAAUCUGUUUUUCAUGGCGUAUUAAUGAAAGUUUGAUGUAUUGGCCAAAUCACUUGCAAGCAUCUUGCCUUUAAACUGCCAUACGUAAAGUCACGCUUUUAAAAGUAACUGAAAGCAGAUGAACUUUAUUACUUCGGUUGGAGGAGACGAGAAACAACUUACAGCGGCAAUCUUAAUACAGCUAAUGGCCAAAGAAGUAUGUUUUUCAUACUCAGUGUAUGGAAUGAAACAAAAACAUCCUGCAUGGUCGUUAUAGAGUUACGUUUAGUCGUUUAUCGUUGUAUUUGUUUAUUUCGAAAUUGCUACUGACAAGGGUAUUAAAGAAAAAAUUGGCAGUUUUUUGGUGACGGCCAUUAUUAGAGAUUAUGGAAGAAAAAUAGAACCGUA
rnacentral:lncRNA from 1 species